UGGUCAAGUUAUUAAGGGUGCAGGGCGGAUGCCUUGGCACUAGGAGCCGAUGAAGGACGUGAUAAGCUGCGAUAAGCUUCGGGGAGUUGCACGUAAACUUUGAUCCGAAGAUUUCCGAAUGAGGAAACUCACUUAGAGUAAUGUCUAAGUAUCAUUAAGUGAAUACAUAGCUUAAUGAGGGGAACUCAGGGAACUGAAACAUCUAAGUACCUGAAGGAAGAGAAAGAAAUUCGAUUCCGUAAGUAGCGGCGAGCGAACGCGGAUUAGCCCAAACCAAUAAAGUUUUCUUUGUUGGGGUUGCGGACAUAUCAUAACGAAGAGGUAUCGUAAUUGAAGAGGUUUGGAAAGACCCACCACAGAAGGUAAUAGUCCUGUAUGUUAAACGAGAAGACUUUAGAUAUGAUCCAGAGUACCACGGGACACGUGAAACCCUGUGGGAAGCAGGAGGGACCACCCUCCAAGGCUAAAUACUACCUAGUGACCGAUAGCGUAUAGUACCGUGAGGGAAAGGUGAAAAGAACCCCG
rnacentral:rRNA from 1 species